AGUGAACGCUGGCGGUAGGCCUAACACAUGCAAGUCGAACGGCAGCACAGUAAGAGCUUGCUCUUACGGGUGGCGAGUGGCGGACGGGUGAGGAAUACAUCGGAAUCUACUUUUUCGUGGGGGAUAACGUAGGGAAACUUACGCUAAUACCGCAUACGACCUACGGGUGAAAGCAGGGGAUCUUCGGACCUUGCGCGAUUGAAUGAGCCGAUGUCGGAUUAGCUAGUUGGCGGGGUAAAGGCCCACCAAGGCGACGAUCCGUAGCUGGUCUGAGAGGAUGAUCGGCCACACUGGACCUGAGACACGGUCCAGACUCCUACGGGAGGCAGCAGUGGGGAAUAUUGGACAAUGGGCGCAAGCCUGAUCCAGCCAUACCGCGUGGGUGAAGAAGGCCUUCGGGUUGUAAAGCCCUUUUGUUGGGAAAGAAAAGCAGCAGGUUAAUACCCCGCUGUUCUGACGGUACCCAAAGAAUAAGCACCGGCUAACUUCGUG
rnacentral:rRNA from 1 species